CCAUUCAUUCAAAGAGUGCGUAACAGCUCACUAGUCGAGGGACUGUGCAUGGAUAAUAAUCGGGUAUUAAACCCGCUGCCGAAGCCACGGGAUACGCAUAGUAUCGGUAGGGGAGCAUUCCAUCGGCGUCGAAGGUAGGAGGACGACUUCUGCUGGAGCUUAUGGAAAAGCAAAUGUAGGUAUAAGUAACGAUAAAGAGUGUGAGAUGCACUCUCGCCGAAAGACUAAGGUUUCCCGGGCAACGUUAAUCGUCCCGGGGUUAGUCGGGACCUAAGGAUAAGCCGAAGGGCGAAGCCGAUGGCAGAAAUGGUUAAUAUUCCAUUACUACCUAUUAUGGCGAUUGCGGGGACGGAGAAGUGAAACUUCCGCGCGCAGACGGAAUAGCGCGUUAAAGGUUGUAGACGUAGAUUUGGGCAGGCAAAUCCACCCAGAGAGUCGAAGCUGAUAGUACAUGAAGCCUUCGGGCGGAGUGAUAGUGAAGGUAAUCAGACUCCCGAGAAAAUCCGCUAAGCUUAACAUAAGAGGUACCCGUACCGCAAACGGACACACGUAGUCGGGUUGAAAAUACUGAGGCGCUUGGAAGAUUCACGGUUAAGGAACUAGGCAAAUUGACCCCGUAACUUCGGAAUAAGGGGUCCUCUCCUCCGGGAGAGGCGCAGAGAAUAGGUCCAGGCAACUGUUUAACAAAAACACAGGGCUGUGCGAAAUCGAAAGAUGAAGUAUACAGUCUGACACCUGCCCGGUGCCGGAAGGUUAAGAGGAGAUGUCACCGCAAGGGAAGCAUUGAAUUGAAGCCCCGGUAAACGGCGGCCGUAACUAUAACGGUCCUAAGGUAGCGAAAUUCCUUGUCGGGUAAGUUCCGACCUGCACGAAUGGUGUAAUGAUCCGGACACUGUCUCAACCGUGAUUCCAGUGAAAUUGUAGUAUCGGUGAAGAUGCCGAUUACCCGCGAUGGGACGAAAAGACCCCGUGAACCUUUACUGCAACUUAACGUUGUGACCGGGCAGCGGAUGUGUAGGAUAGGCCGGAGGCUAUGAAGUGUGCACGCCAGUGUAUGUGGAGCCGCCGUUGAAAUACGGCCCUUCCUCUGUCUGGUUCCUAACCCGAUAUUAUUGGGGACACCGUUUGGUGGGCAGUUUGACUGGGGUGGUCGCCUCCAAAAGCGUAACGGAGGCUUCUAAAGGUACCCUCAGGCCGAUUGGUAACCGGCCUUAGAGUGUAAUGGCAAAAGGGUGCUUGACUGGGAGGCCGACAAGCCGAUCAGGUAGGAAACUAGAGCAUAGUGAUCCGGUGGUUCC
rnacentral:rRNA from 1 species